rnacentral:lncRNA from 1 species
GUAUUAGCAAGCAAUAGGAAGAGCUAUGUAUGCACAUUUUGUCUAUAAGGAUAUUCUUGAGAUUAAUAUUUGGGAUUAUUUUUCCUCUUCAUUUUCCAACAGAGCUCAUGAAGACAUGAAGUUUCUCUCUGCUGUUUUCUUUCUCCUCCAAGUCCCCAGCCCAUGGAACAUUUGUCUGCUGUUGUUACUUCACCAAACAACCUCCCGCCCCCCAUCACUAGCACCUCUUUCUCUACUGACUCUUAAAUGAGACGUGUUCCAGGAUCUUACACCUGGUCUCAGAAUUUUGGCGUCUGUGGUUUGAAUGUUCUGAUCUGUAACCUCAAGACCGCGUUUGGAGAUCCGAAGAUGUUGAGUGAGAUUAAUGUACAUUGAGCAAUCUUGCCUGAAUGAUGAAUCCUCUAUAAAAAUCCCAGCCUAUGGACUUUGGUGAGUGACCGUGUUGACAAGCACACUUGCCUACUGGGAGGACAGUGUGUGCUGACUCUGCAGGAACAGCAUUUCCUUCACUCAGGACUCUUCUGG